UUGAACGCUGGCGGCAUGCUUUACACCUGCCAGUCGCACGGUAACAGGCCGCAAGGUGCUGACGAGUGGCGAACGGGUGAGUAAUGCAUCGGAACGUGCCCAGUCGUGGGGGAUAACUACUCGAAAGAGUAGCUAAUACCGCAUACGAUCUAUGGAUGAAAGCGGGGGACCGUAAGGCCUCGCGCGAUUGGAGCGGCCGAUGUCAGAUUAGGUAGUUGGUGGGGUAAAGGCUCACCAAGCCAACGAUCUGUAGCUGGUCUGAGAGGACGACCAGCCACACUGGGACUGAGGCACGGCCCAGACUCCUACGGGAGGCAGCAGUGGGGAAUUUUGGACAAUGGGCGCAAGCCUGAUCCAGCAAUGCCGCGUGCAGGAAGAAGGCCUUCGGGUUGUAAACUGCUUUUGUACGGAACGAAACGGCUCUGGUUAAUACCCGGGGCUAAUGACGGUACCGUAAGAAUAAGCACCGGCUAACUACGUG
rnacentral:rRNA from 1 species